rnacentral:misc_RNA from 1 species
CGCUCGUGCGCCCCUCCCCUCCCUUACUCGCGCGGAUUAGCGCGUCACGAAAGCCAUGUCUAUUGUAAAGGUAAUGAUCACCCACUCGGCGAGCCAGCGAGUGGUGCCGGAGAAGGCGUACGGGCUUGCGCAGACGGUGCAGAGCAUUAGGGAAGAUAUGUACUCGCGUUUUGGCAUCCCGGCGGAACAGAUUCGGCUAGAGCUGUACGACACGCGCGACUGCAAGGUGGAGGGCAACAUGAAGGAUGAAAAGCUGCUGGGCUUUUACGGGUGCGAGACAGGUUAUCGCAUUCACGUCGUCGAUCUUCGACCUGCUGCGCAGGUGGAUAACUACGAUGACGUGUCGAAGGUAGAGAAGUACGAGAUGACGGACGAGGAGUGGCUUAAGCGGCCCGACAAUCUCCGCGCCUACAAGGAGCGUAUGCUGGCCCUGCAGCGGGAGGAGAUGGCGAAGGGUGGCAUCGAAGUGCCGUCCGGGCCGGACGAUGACAGUUACAAGGCGGAGGCGGACAAGAUAAAGGUGGGUGACCGUUGCUGUUGCCAACCCGGCGAGCGUCUCGGCACGGUGCGGUACGUCGGACGUGUGGCAGCGCUGAAGCCAGGGUAUUGGAUCGGCGUCGAGUUUGACGAGCCAGUCGGCAAAUCCAACGGCACGGUGAAGGGGGCAACGCUGUUUGAAUGCAUGCCCCUGUACGGCGGUGUGCUGCGCCCAAAUCAGGUAGAAGUGGGUGACUUUCCUCCUCAAGAGUACUGAGUGUGUGUAUGGUGGUGGUGGCUCCAUCAGUGCUGAUCUCCCUCCAAUACUGGGCACACACACACACACACACACACACAAGCGCCUCGUGUUGUCCGUCGCCUUCCUCCUCCCUCAGCUCGUUGGAAUGCUAGUGCGCGUUCAUCAUUUGUGUUGCGCGUGACGCUGAUGGUCUGUGCACGUGCGAAGGAAAGCUGGUCUGUGUGUGUGUGUGUGUGUGCGUCUGUGUCAAACUUUUUUUUUGGUCUCAUCGAGCACUCUACUCGGCGUUGAACGGCCGUUGAGCAACGAUAGGCAUCAACGCAGCAGCCGAGGGGCGCACGUAUCGUGAGGGCACCGCUUCAUUUUGCGUACUCGACGACACAAAGUGUGCGCGCGGAGAGAGCGCGAGCGCGCAAGAGGAGGGGGAGCAGUCGUUCCAGUGCCUGCGCCGCUGCCUCUUCUGCUCCAUCUUUACAUAUGCUUGCCUCUCCUCUCCCUUCCCUUCCAACCGUCUCGCCUGCUCUCUCUGUGCCCGCCUUUGGUUGUUGUCUUUCGCCACCCUCACUUGCUUGUUGUCUCACACACACACACACCGCCCCCCCCCCCCCCCCCCCCCGUCGGAUCGACUGAGACCAAUCUGUCGACUCGCUCCAUGGCCUCCGUGUAACUCCCUCUCUCUUACGAUGGCGAAG